rnacentral:lncRNA from 1 species
UCCCGUACUUUUCAUGCUUAUUUUUCAUUGGACGAUAAUGAUGUCAUUGACUACUCUGCUUGGUUACGUAUGCUUUGCAACGUCAAACUCCCGCUAAUAUUGUAAACGGUGGAAUCUGUUUGUGUUGAUUGUAAUUUCACUUAUAAGAAGCAAUUAUAAAAAAGAAAAAAAAAAUCUUCACUAUGAAUUUUUUAAAGAUCUAAAAUAUAGUACCUUAUUCUUAAUAUGGGUUCGCUCUCCGUAUAU